UGCAGUCGAACGGUGGUAGCAAUACCAUAGUGGCGCACGGGUGCGUAACGCGUAACCAACCUACCCAGUUCUGGGGGAUAGCCCGCCGAAAGGCGGAUUAAUACCGCAUAAGACGAUAACCUGGCAUCAGGUAGUCGUUAAAGAUUUAUUGGAAUUGGAUGGGGUUGCGUGCCAUUAGCUAGUUGGGGGGGUAACGGCCCACCAAGGCGACGAUGGCUAGGGGAGCUGAGAGGCUGGUCCCCCACACGGGCACUGAGAUACGGGCCCGACUCCUACGGGAGGCAGCAGUAGGGAAUAUUGGGCAAUGGACGAGAGUCUGACCCAGCCAUGCCGCGUGCANGACGAAGGCUUUCUGAGUCGUAAACUGCUUUUGCCAGGGAAGAAUAAGGNCCAUGCGUGGGNCGACGACGGUACCUGGUGAAUAANCACCGGCUAACUCCGUGCCAGCAGCCGCGGUAAUACGGAGGGUGCAAGCGUUGUCCGGAUUUAUUGGGUUUAAAGGGUGCGUAGGCGGCCGNUUAAGUCCGGGGUGAAAGCCCGUUGCUCAACAACGGAACUGCCCNGGAAACUGGANGGCUUGAGUACAGACGAGGGCGGCGGAAUGGAGGGUGUAGCGGUGAAAUGCAUAGAUACCCUCCAGAACCCCGAUUGCGAAGGCANCUGCCUAGACUGUAACUGACGCUGAGGCACGAAAGCGUGGGGAGCGAACAGGAUUAGAUACCCUGGUAGUCCACGCCGUAAACGAUGGAUACUCGCUGCCGGCGCUACACUGUCGGUGGCUUAGCGAAAGCGUUAAGUAUCCCACCU
rnacentral:rRNA from 1 species